GUCUACAGCCAUACCACAUUGAACACGCCCAAUCUCGUCUGAUCUCGGAAGCCAAGAAAUAGGAAGUUGCAGUAACCAUUGUGGUAGGCU
rnacentral:rRNA from 1 species